ACCUACAUGAAUAUGGUUACUGUAUAAUUCAUCCUUUUGACCCCUGUGUUUAGGACGACUCAAGGUUAAACUGUCAACCCUGAUCAGAUCAUCCAAAUCGUGCUCAACUCAAACAGUCCUGUGACUCCUCACAAGGACUACCCUGGCCAAGGUUUUGCUAAAUUGAAAUACGACUAUACACAGCUCCUAAACUGGAGUGGUCAAUCCUAUCUUGACACACGCACCGACAAGUCAAGUACUUGACUACACCCAGC
rnacentral:lncRNA from 1 species